rnacentral:tRNA from 1 species
CCKCGCAUAGUUCAACGGAGAGAACGCAGCCCUCCGACGGCUGAGGUUGUAGGUUCGAGUCCUACUGCGCGGACGA